rnacentral:rRNA from 2 species
GACGAACCGAGCGAACGUUGUUCGGAAUAACUGGGCUUAAAGGGCGCGUAGGCGGGCCGCCAAGUUCGAGGUGAAAUCCUCCGGCUCAACCGGAGAACUGCCUCGAAUACUGGAGGCCUCGAGGCGGGUAGGGGCAUGCGGAACUGUGGGUGGAGCGGUGAAAUGCGUUGAUAUCCACAGGAACUCCGGUGGCGAAGGCGGCAUGCUGGACCCGAUCUGACGCUGAGGCGCGAAAGCCAGGGGAGCAAACGGG